CUGCUGCCUUCCGUAGGAGUUUGGGCCGUGUCUCAGUCCCAAUGUGGCCGUCCACCCUCUCAGGCCGGCUACUGAUCGUCGCCUUGGUGGGCCGUUACCCCGCCAACAAGCUAAUCAGACGCGGGUCCAUCUUACACCACCGGAGUUUUUCACACAAAUCCAUGCGGCUUCGUGCGCUUAUGCGGUAUUAGCACCCUAUUUCUAAGUGUUAUCCCCCAGUGUAAGGCAGGUUACCCACGCGUUACUCACCCGUCCGCCACUAAG
rnacentral:rRNA from 1 species